CACAUGCAAGUCGAGCGAUGAGAUCACUUCGGUGAAGGAUUAGCGGCGAACGGGUGAGGAACACGUGAAGAAUCUGCCUUCAACUCUGGGAUAACUCCGGGAAACCGGGGCUAAUACCGGAUAUGAGCCUUGAUCGCAUGAUCGGGGCUGGAAAGUUUUCCGGUUGAAGAUGACUUCGCGGCCUAUCAGCUUGUUGGUGAGGUAAUGGCUCACCAAGGCGACGACGGGUAGCCGGCCUGAGAGGGCGACCGGCCACACUGGGACUGAGACACGGCCCAGACUCCUACGGGAGGCAGCAGUGGGGAAUAUUGGGCAAUGGAGGAAACUCUGACCCAGCGACGCCGCGUGAGGGAUGAAGGCCUUCGGGUUGUAAACCUCUUUCAGUAGGGAAGAAGCGAAAGUGACGGUACCUACAGAAGAAGCACCGGCUAACUAUGUGCCAGCAGCCGCGGUAAUACAUAGGGUGCAAGCGUUGUCCGGAAUUAUUGGGCGUAAAGAGCUCGUAGGUGGUUCGAUACGUCGGAUGUGAAAAUCAGGGGCUCAACCCCUGGCCUGCAUCCGAUACGGCCGAGCUAAAGUU
rnacentral:rRNA from 1 species